rnacentral:tRNA from 1 species
GAAGAUAAGGCUUUUAACACUCUGACUUGAAACCAGAACGAAGGACGUUCGACUCGUCCAUCUUCU